rnacentral:lncRNA from 1 species
UAUGGAUAUCUACUCAGAAGCAAUCUGAAACAGUCCUCUAUAGUGUCGAUCUUUCUUCUUUAAGAACGAUCAUCUUACGAAUCUGAAUGAAGCCUGGAUCGCAAUCAACUUUUUGAUCCUUUCUUUGAUCUUUUUCUUCUUUUCUUUUCUUGCUCUUCUUCUCUUAAUUAUAAAGCAACCAAGAUCUGAAAAUCAACCACCAAAGAAGAUGCCCAAACUCCUUUUGGGCGUGGAGAUGGAGGAUGCCCAACACUCUUGGGUGUUGGAACCAAGAGGGAG